rnacentral:rRNA from 1 species
GUGGGGAAUAUUGGACAAUGGGCGCAAGCCUGAUCCAGCAAUGCCGCGUGUGUGAAGAAGGCCUGCGGGUUGUAAAGCACUUUGAGUGGGGAAGAAGGCCUGGGGGCGAAUACCCUCUGGGAUUGACGUUACCCACAGAACAAGCACCGGCUAACUCCGUGCCAGCAGCCGCGGUAAUACGGAGGGUGCGAGCGUUAAUCGGAAUUACUGGGCGUAAAGCGCGCGUAGGCGGUUAAAUGAGUCUGAUGUGAAAGCCCCGGGCUUAACCUGGGAAUGGCAUUGGAUACUGUUUGACUGGAGUGUGGGAGAGGGUAGUGGAAUUUCCGGUGUAGCAGUGAAAUGCGUAGAGAUCGGAAGGAACACCAGUGGCGAAGGCGGCUACCUGGACCAACACUGACGCUGAGGUGCGAAAGCGUGGGGAGCAAACAGGAUUAGAAACCCUUGUAGUCC